rnacentral:rRNA from 1 species
UACGUAGGGGGGCAAGCGUUUGUCCGGAAUCAUUGGGCGUAAAGCGCGCGUAGGCGGCCCGGUAAGUCCGUUGUGAAAGUCAAAGGCUCAACCUUUGAAUGCCGAUGGAUACUGCCGGGCUAGAGUCCGGAAGAGGCGAGUGGAAUUCCUGGUGUAGCGGUGGAAUGCGCAGAUAUCAGGAGGAACACCGAUAGCGAAGGCAGCUCG